UUUGUGAGGGGAGAUCAUGGAGGAGAUGAGGGGUGUCCAUGUUUGUGAGGGGAGAUCAUGGAGGAGAUGAGGGGUGUCCGUGUUUGUGAGGGGAGAUCAUGGAGGAGAUGAGGGGUGUCCGUGUUUGUGAGGCAAGAUCUUGGAGGAGAUGAGAGGAGGGAUCAUGGAGGUGAGGGGUGUCCAUGUUUGUGAGGGAGGAUCAUGGAGGUGAAGGGUGUCCAUGUUUGUGAGGGGAGGAGAUCAUGGGGGAGAACAGGGGUGUCCAUGAGGGGAGAUAAUGGAGGAGAUCAGGGGUGUCCUGAGGGGAAACCAUGGAGGAGAUCAGGGGUGUUCAUGUUUGUGAGGGGAGAUCAUGGAGGAGAUGAGGGGUGUCCAUGUUUGUGAGGGGAGAUCAUGGAGGAGAUGAGGGGUGUCCAUGUUUGUGAGGGGGAAUCUUGGAGGAGAUGAGGGGGGGGAUCAUGGAGGUGAGGGGUGUCCAUGUUUGUGAGGGGUGUCCAUGUUUGUGAGGGGAGAUCAUGGAGGAGAUGAGGGGUGUCCAUGUUUAUGAGGGGGUAUCAUGGAGGUGAGGGGUGUCUGUGUUUGUGAGGAGCAGCUGUGAGGGGAGACCAUGGAGGAGAUGUGGGGUGUCCUGAGGGGAGAUCAUGGAGGAGAUCAGGGGUGUCCAUGAGGGGAGAUCAUGGAGGAGAGAUGAGGGGAGGGGAGAUCAUGGAGUAGAUUGUGGGGCAGAGAUCAGGGGUGUCUGUGAGGGGAGAUAAUGGAGGAGAUCAGGGGUGUCCUGAGGGGAGAUCAUGGAGGAGAUCAGGGGUGUCCAUGAGGGGAGAUAAUGGGGGAGAUCAGGGGUGUCCAUGAGGGGAGAUCAUGGGGGAGAGAUGAGGGGUGUCCAUGAGGGGAGGGGAGAUCAUGGAGUAGAUUGUGGGGCAGAGAUCAGGGGUGUCUGUGAGGGGAGAUAAUGGGGGAGAUCAGGGGUGUCCAUGAGGGGAGAUAAUGGAGGAGAUCAGGGGUGUCCAUGAGGGGAGACCAAGGAGGAGAUGAGGGGUGUCCAUGAGGGGAGAUAAUGAAGGAGAUCAUGGGGGAGAGGUCAGGGGUGUCCAUGAGGGGAGGGGAGAUCAUGGAGGAGAUGAGGGGUGUCCAUGAGGGGAAACCAUGGAGGAGAUGAGGGGUGUUCAUGUUUGUGAGGAGCAGCUGUGAGUGGAAAUCAUGGAGGAGAGGACAGGUGUCCAUGAGGGGAGAUCAUGGAGGAGGAGAUGAGGGGUGUCCAUGUCUGUGAGGGGAUAUCAUGGAGGUGAGGAGUGUCCAUGUUUGUCAGGGGAGGUCAUAGAGGAGAUGAGGGGCGUCCAUGAGAGGAGCUCAUGAGGAAGAUGAGAGAAGAUCAUUGUGGACAUGAGGAGCCUCCAUGGUUGUGAGGGGCAGCCAUGAGGCAGGAUCAUUGCUGACAUGAGGGGAGAUCAUGGAGGGGUGGCCAUGAGGGGAGAUCAUGGAGGAAGAUGAGGGGCGACCAUGAGGUGACCAUGACCAUGAGGAGAUCAUGGAGGAAGAUGAGGGGCAGCCCCUCCUGCUGUUUUGGAAUAUUUUUUCUCAGGUGUGGCAGCAGCACCAGCUGCCUCCCAAGGUGAGAGAGAUCUCAAGGCGAUGGAUUUCACAGGCACCUCCUAUGCAUACAUAAUAACUCACUUCUCAUUUUAAUUUUCAUUUCAGCACGUAAUGAGUUGACUGAAAAAACCAAGCCUGAGGAGCUUGGGAGGAAAUUUAAGACUGAUUGUGGAAAUAGAAGAUUUUGGAUCCUGCUUGGAUGCAUUGGAGGAGGCAGAGCUGGGGGUUCCGUCCUCACGGAGAGCAGCAGAUUCCUGCUUUUGGUCCAGCACCCCGGGGCGUCUCUUCAAUCAGCAUCUUUUCAGGUCGGGGUGAGAAGCAAAAAGGAUCCAAGCAGGGCCUUGGGAAUGUUCACCUGGAGAAGAGAAGGAUGCAGGGGCUCCUCAGAGCCUUUCCAGGAGCUGGGGGUGUCCAGCUUGGAAAAGAGAAGGAUCUGGGGAUUCCUCAGUCCAGGAGCUUUGUGAGUCCAGCUUGGAGAAGGGAAGGAUCCAGGGGCUCCUCGGAGCUCCUUCCAGGGUCCGGGAACGUUCACCUGGAGAAGGGAAGGACUUAGGAGCUCCUCGGUCCAGGAGCUGGGGGUGUUCACCCAGAGAAAGGAAGGAGCUGGGGACUCCUCGGAGCCCUUUCAAGAGCUGGGGGUGUUCACCUGGAGCAGGGAAGGAGGCAGGCCUCCAACCCCCGGAAAGGCCGGGCGCCUUCCCGCCGGAAGCGCAGAGCCGAAGGAUCUCCAAAGGAGCGCCCGGCUCCCGGGGCGCGAGGUGGGACCGAGCUCACGGCGUUCUGGGAAACCCUGGAGCAGCUGGGAAACCCAGCCCUGGGGGAACCAAACCAGGAGGAAAAAGUUUGGUGGAAUUUUGAGGAUUUUUGACCAAAGUUUGGUCAAAAUUUGAGGAUUUUUCACCAAAGUUUGGUUGAGUUUUAAGAAUUUUUGACCAAGCUUUGGUCAAGUUUUGCGAAUUUCUGACCAAACUUUCAUUUAGUUUCAAGAAUUUUUGACCAAACUUUUGUUAAGUUUUAAGGAUUUUUGGCAAAAUUUUGGUUGAGUUUUAAGAAUUUUUGACCAAACUUUCGUUAAGUUUUGAGAAUUUUUGACCAAAGUGACUGAAGUUUGGUUGAGUUUUGAGGAUUUUGGAUAAAACUUGGUUGAGUUUUGACCAAAGUCUGGUUGAAUUUUAAAAACUUGACAAAAGUCAGGUUGAGUUUUGAGGAUUUUUUUGCCUCAUUAAUGGGUGAAGAAAUCUGGGAAUCUCCUCCAGGCCAGAACCUGGAGCAGCUGGGAAAUCCAGCCCUGGGGGAACCAAACCAGGAGGAAAGGGCUUGGAAAAAGUUUGGUUGAGUUUGGAUGAUUUUGGACCAAAUUUUGGUGGAGUUUCGAGGAUUUUUGACCAAAUUUUGGUCAAGAUUUGAGAAUUUUGGCUGAGUUUUAAGGAUUUUUGGCAAAAGUUGGGUUGAGUUUUAAGGAUUCUUUUGAUCAAAGCUUGCUUGAGUUUUAAGGAUUUUGGUCAAGGUUUGGUUGAGUUUUGAGGAUUUUUGACCAAAGUAGUUUUAAGCAUUUUUGUCAAAUGUUUGGUUGAGUUUUAAGGAUUUUUGGCAAAUUUUUGGUUGAGUUUGGAGGAUUUUUGACCAAACUUUGGUUGAGUUUUGAGAAUUUUUGACCAAACUUUUGUUUAGUUUCGAGAAUUUUUGACCAAAGUUUGGUUGAAUUUUAGGAAUUUUUGGCAAAAGUUUGGUUGAGUUUUAAGGAUUUCUGACUAAAGUUUGGUUGAGUUUUGAGGAUUUUGGAUAAAACUUGGUUGAGUUUUGACCAAAGUCCGGUUGAAUUUUAAGAAUUUUUGACAAAAAUCUGGUUGAGUUUUGAGGAUUUUUGACCAAAGAUUGGUCGAGUUUUGUGGAUUUUUGAUCAAAGUCUGGUUGAGUUUGGAGGAUUUUUGACCAAAGUAGUUCUAAGCAUUUUUGUCAAAUGUUUGGUUGAGUUUUAAGAAUUUUUGACCAAACUUUCGUUCAGUUUUGAGAAUUUUUGACCAAAGUUUGGUUGAGUUUUAAGGAUUUUGGUCAAGGAUUGGUUGAAGUUUUGAGGAUUUUGGAUAAAAUUUUGGUUGAGUUUUAAGGAUUUUUGACCAAAGUUUGGUCAAGAUUUGUGGAUUUUUGACCAAAGUCUGGUUGAGUUUGGAGGAUUUUUUGACCAAACUUUCGUUGAGUUUUGAGGAUUUUUGACCAAAGUCUGGUUGAGUUUUGAGGAUUUUUGACAAAAACCUUGGUUGAGUUUUAACGAUUUUGGUCAAGGUUUUGUUGAGUUUUGAGGAUUUUGGAUAAAACUUUGGUCAAGUUUUGUGGAUUUUUGACCAAAGUCUGGUUGAGUUUUAAGGAUUUUUGGCAAAAGUUUGGCUGAGUUUUAAGAAUUUUUGACCAAGCUUUGGUCAAGUUUUGAGAAUUUCUGACCAAACUUUUGUUUAGUUGCGAGAAUUUUUGACCAAACUUUCGUUAAGUUUUGAGAAUUUUUGACCAAAGUUUGGUUGAGUUUUGAGGAUUUUGGUCAAGGUUUGGUUGAGUUUGGAGGAUUUUUGACCAAAUUUUGGUCAAGAUUUGAGGAUUUUUCACCAAAGUUUGGUUGAGUUUUGAGGAUUUUGGAUAAAACUUUGGUUGAGUUUUGACCAAAGUCCGGUUGAAUUUUAAGAAUUUUUGACAAAAGUCUGGUUGAGUUUUGAGGAUUUUUAAAUUAAUUUUGGAUUUUUGCUGUUUUUCC